CGCUCUAUUAUGCAAUAAUGGCUGAAAAAUCUCAGAAAUAUCUUACCUAUCGUAAUGUUCUCAAUGGCCUCAAAGGUUUACGCAUGAGUUCAAAACGUUAUUUCACAUAUUCAGUGAAAUAUAUCAAUUGUUUUCACUUACCCCAUUUACCCACUUGCCCCGCGGUACCUUA